UACGGGGGGGGCAAGCGUUGUUCGGAAUUACUGGGCGUAAAGGGCUCGUAGGUGGCCAACUAAGUCAGACGUGAAAUCCCUCAGCUUAACUGGGGAACUGCGUCUGAUACUGGAUGGCUUGAGAUUGGGAGAGGGAUGCGGAAUUCCAGGUGUAGCGGUGAAAUGCGUAGAUAUCUGGAGGAACACCGGUGGUGAAGGCGGCAUCCUGGACCAACACUGACGCUGAGGAGCGAAAGCCAGGGGAGCAAACGGG
rnacentral:rRNA from 1 species